ACGCUGGCGGCAGGCCUAACACAUGCAAGUCGAGCGGUAGAGAGAAGCUUGCUUCUCUUGAGAGCGGCGGACGGGUGAGUAAUGCCUAGGAAUCUGCCUGGUAGUGGGGGGUAACGCUCGGAAACGGACGCUAAUACCGCAUACGUCCUACGGGAGAAAGCAGGGGACCUUCGGGCCUUGCGCUAUCAGAUGAGCCUAGGUCGGAUUAGCUAGUUGGUGAGGUAAUGGCUCACCAAGGCGACGAUCCGUAACUGGUCUGAGAGGAUGAUCAGUCACACUGGAACUGAGACACGGUCCAGACUCCUACGGGAGGCAGCAGUGGGGAAUAUUGGACAAUGGGCGAAAGCCUGAUCCAGCCAUGCCGCGUGUGUGAAGAAGGUCUUCGGAUUGUAAAGCACUUUAAGUUGGGAGGAAGGGCAGUAAAUUAAUACUUUGCUGUUUUGACGUUACCGACAGAAUAAGCACCGGCUAACUCUGUGCCAGCAGCCGCGGUAAUACAGAGGGUGCAAGCGUUAAUCGGAAUUACUGGGCGUAAAGCGCGCGUAGGUGGUUCGUUAAGUUGGAUGUGAAAUCCCCGGGCUCAACCUGGGAACUGCAUUCAAAACUGUCGAGCUAGAGUAUGGUAGAGGGUGGUGGAAUUUCCUGUGUAGCGGUGAAAUGCGUAGAUAUAGGAAGGAACACCAGUGGCGAAGGCGACCACCUGGACUGAUACUGACACUGAGGUGCGAAAGCGUGGGGAGCAAAC
rnacentral:rRNA from 1 species